rnacentral:rRNA from 1 species
GUUCCUACGGGGGGCAGCAGUGAGGAAUAUUGGUCAAUGGUCGGGAGACUGAACCAGCCAAGCCGCGUGAGGGAUGAAGGUACAGAGUAUCGUAAACCUCUUUUGUCAGGGAACAAAGGCGGGGACGUGUCCCCGGAUGAGUGUACCUGAAGAAAAAGCAUCGGCUAACUCCGUGCCAGCAGCCGCGGUAAUACGGAGGAUGCGAGCGUUAUCCGGAUUUAUUGGGUUUAAAGGGGGCACAGGCGGCGGGUUAAGGUAGCGGUAAAAUUUCGGGGAUCAACCCCGACGAGCCG